rnacentral:rRNA from 1 species
AAAUGAAUAGACGGGGACCCGCACAAGCGGUGGAGCAUGUGGUUUAAUUCGACGCAACGCGAAGAACCUUACCAGGGCUUGACAUCCCCCGCAAUCUGUGGAAACACAGAGUUCUUAGCUUCGGUUAAGACGGGGAGACAGGUGGUGCAUGGUUGUCGUCAGCUCGUGUCGUGAGAUGUUGGGUUAAGUCCCGCAACGAGCGCAACCCCUACUUUUAGUUGCCAGCAUUAAGUUGGGCACUCUAAAGGAACUGCCGGUGACAAACCGGAGGAAGGUGGGGAUGACGUCAAAUCAUCAUGCCCUUUAUGUCCUGGGCUACACACGUGCUACAAUGGCCGGUACAGAGGGCUGCGAAGGAGCGAUCUGGAGCGAAUCCCAAAAAGCCGGUCUCAGUUCGGAUUGCAGGCUGCAACCCGCCUGCAUGAAGUUGGAAUCGCUAGUAAUCGCGAGUCAGCAUAUCGCGGUGAAUACGUUCCCGGGUCUUGCACACACCGCCCGU